AUUGAACGCUGGCGGCAGGCCUAACACAUGCAAGUCGAGCGGCGGAAGGGUGCUUGCUCGCGGAUUCAGGGGGGGAGGGGCGGGUGAGGCCGGGGAAUCUGGCAGGCAGCGGGGGAUAGGGGGCGGAAACGGGGGAAAAUACGGCAUAAGCGCAGAGGGAGAAAGGGGGGGAGCAGGGGAUCUUAGGAUAUCAGGUGAGCCAAGGUCGGGUUGGCGAGUUGGUGGGGUAAAGGCCUACCAAGGCGACGAUCCGUAACUGGUCUGAGAGGAUGAGCAGUCACACUGGAACUGAGACACGGUCCAGACUCCUACGGGAGGCAGCAGUGGGGAAUAUUGGACAAUGGGCGAAAGCCUGAUCCAGCCAUGCCGCGUGUGUGAAGAAGGUCUUCGGAUUGUAAAGCCCUUUUGUUUGGAAAGAAAGGCAGUAGGUUAAUACCUUGCUGUUUUGACGUUACCCACAGAAUAAGCACCGGCUAACUUCGUG
rnacentral:rRNA from 1 species